UCUUGUUUAGCAUAGUGCCCCAACUUGGGUCUCCUGACUUAAGGACUUUCUCACAAGAGCCCGAGUUUUGCGAGAUCGAGCCUAAACAAGUUUUUGCAUUUUUAAAGCGCCAAAGACCAUCAAGAAACCUUUCAAUUUUCUUUGUGCAGUUGUAACUUCCCUUAGUUUGUGAACCGUCAGGCUGUAAUUGCAACUACUCUCUCCAUCAAUUAAUGCUACAUUAGUUUUUAAUUUAAUAACUCUAAUUUAACUUUCCUUUUUUUAUUGAAAAUUUUCUUUCCUUCCAAAGGGUUUCCUCUAAAACUUCCUUUUUCUUCUUCACUUCUGCCCAGUGACCAAAAGCUUGCUUUUUACGACCAUUUUCAAGCAUACCUUUGAAUAGCUUUCAACGAAUAGAGUAAGUUUUAUACCUUCGCCAUUCAUUUUUUGUAAUUCAUACAUGCUUUAUCUAAGGAGUUUUUAUUCUUUGAAAUUUUUUUCCUUUUUCUCGUCCCCCUCCCCCUUUUUUUAAAUGUCACACACAUUUUCCCCUGAUUCUGGUCUUUGUUUUCAUAUUCAUAGCUAUGAUUAGGUUGACAUAGUAGGGGUACCACUAUUUUAGUUUUUCCUAAUUAGGUAGUCCAUUCUUAAAAUUUCUCGCCCCUCUCUGGGUUUUCCAAAAAUUAGUGCAUUGCUUCUAAAUUUUCUUGAUGGAUUUUCAAGAAAUCUCCUUUGUAACAUAGUAGUGGUGCCCCUGUAGGUUUUCUGAGAUGCUGAGGAAGAAAAUCAUUACAGCUCGUGAAGGCAUUGGGUCAUCCAAAUAUCCGAUAUCUCAAGCUGCCCCUGUUCCUCUCGUCAAUCCAUCUGGCAACGUUGAAGUAGAUAUUUAUUUGUGGGUUUCUGAGGAAGUGAAGUUGACUCCUUUUUCCAUUACCGGAGAAGAACUUGAUAACUUAUGAGAAGCUGGGGUCAUCUUGAACUCCAACCUGGGUAAUUUAUACGUACUAUCUGUGCUAGGACCUGAUGAUUGCUUAUGCCACAUAAAUGAGCACGGGGAAAAUGUUCCUGAAUGGCUGUGGAAGCAUGAAACCCUGUUCUCCCAACUUGGAGUCCGACUUCCAUUUUUCGAUUUUGAAGUAAAUGUACUGACUCAUACUGGAUGUGCUUCCUGACAACUUCACGUUAUACAUGGACCAUCAUUCAUUGUUUUGAACUCUUAUGUUCUUUCUUAGAUCUUGAACUUUCCAUUAGAGUUUUCGUUUAUUUCUUUACUUUAACCAUUCCUUUUAGUUUCCAAGGCAGUGGGUUUAUCUCUUUCUGAGGUAACUAAAACAAAAUAAUCUUUAAUCUUUUUUGGGAGUCCUAUCAUGGGUUUAAAGAAAAAUUCUUCAAACUGAAAGAGUAAAGGAUAAGAUUCCUUUUUUCAUGACUUGAAAAGAUAAAAAAAAAAGUUUCAACCUUUAUUAGAAUUUUAAUGUUUCAUCGCCAAAGAUCCAAUUAAAGGGAAUCAACAAGUUCGAGCUCAUGAUCAUCAACAUGGUCAUGUUACUGUGGAGCAAGAGUCCCCUUAGUUUGAGAGAUAUCAUAGUUGAUGAGCAUGCUGCUUAGAGUGCUAUUGACUUUCUGCCAUGAAGAAAAGACUAGAAUUUCAACCUAAUCUUCUGAUCAAUCCAAGUGGUGACAGAGUAUCUUCUUCAGCCAUAAUAAGUAACUUAGAACCUACUCCCAGGCUCGAAGGAGGCAGAGAAGGUCAAGGUCCCGAGGUUCAUAAUCUGGAAAAAGAUUCUCACACCAACUCCCCUUUAAAGAAGAAACCAAAGAACAAAGAUGCCAAGUUGGGGCUUGCUAAGAUGCCUUUGGAGGAUGCCUUAUCUCGAGUUCAGAGGAUGCUUCUUCGGCCGACUACUUAUGUUCAAGAUGCCGAGGUUAAGGACUCAAAUCUUCAUGCUGAGUUUGUGGUGAAGGACAAAGAAAUUGCAAAUGCCAACACUCAAAUUCAGAAUCUAAACAAUUCAAUUACUACCCUUUAAAAGGAGCAAACUACCCUUCAGGGUAAGGUCAAGGAUUUAAAAAAUGCAAAAGCUUCCUCUGAUUUGAAGGUAGAAAAUCCGAAGAAACAAGUUUCUGAGCUCAAAGCAAAGAUUGAGGAAUUAGAUAUCUCAGUAAAAAAUGCUGAGCAUGCUGCUAUGGAUAGAGUUUUUAAUGCUAAAUGGAGUGUCCUUGACCAAAUCAGACUCAUAGCUCAUGACUUUGACGUCUCCAAAGUUAGUGCUUUUAAGAAAGUAGCAGAUGGGAAGAUUGUUCCUAUUCUGUAGCUUCACUUUCUAAUAUUUUCUAAGUGUUGUGAACUUGGUAGUUCGUAAUACCUUUCCUAAACAAGUACUUUUCCCGUUCUGUCGAGACUUUAACUAGCUCUUUACAAACAUUUUGUUGAAAU